rnacentral:rRNA from 1 species
AUUGAACGCUGGCGGCAUGCCUUACACAUGCAAGUCGAACGGUAACGGGCCUUCGGGUGCCGACGAGUGGCGCACGGGUGAGUAAUACAUCGGAACGUGCCCGAUCGUGGGGGAUAACGAGGCGAAAGCUUUGCUAAUACCGCAUACGAUCUACGGAUGAAAGCAGGGGACCGCAAGGCCUUGCGCGGACGGAGCGGCCGAUGGCAGAUUAGGUAGUUGGUGGGAUAAAAGCUUACCAAGCCGACGAUCUGUAGCUGGUCUGAGAGGAUGAUCAGCCACACUGGGACUGAGGCACGGCCCAGACUCCUACGGGAGGCAGCAGUGGGGAAUUUUGGACAAUGGGCGCAAGCCUGAUCCAGCCAUGCCGCGUGCAGGAUGAAGGCCUUCGGGUUGUAAACUGCUUUUGUACGGAACGAAAAGCCUUCUUUUAAUACAGGAGGGUCAUGACGGUACCGGAAGAAUAAGCACCGGCUAACUACGUG